CCUGGCUCAGGACGAACGCUGGCGGCGUGCCUAAUACAUGCAAGUCGAACGCUUCUUUUUCCACCGGAGCUUGCUCCACCGGAAAAAGAGGAGUGGCGAACGGGUGAGUAACACGUGGGUAACCUGCCCAUCAGAAGGGGAUAACACUUGGAAACAGGUGCUAAUACCGUAUAACAAUCGAAACCGCAUGGUUUUGAUUUGAAAGGCGCUUUCGGGUGUCGCUGAUGGAUGGACCCGCGGUGCAUUAGCUAGUUGGUGAGGUAACGGCUCACCAAGGCGACGAUGCAUAGCCGACCUGAGAGGGUGAUCGGCCACAUUGGGACUGAGACACGGCCCAAACUCCUACGGGAGGCAGCAGUAGGGAAUCUUCGGCAAUGGACGAAAGUCUGACCGAGCAACGCCGCGUGAGUGAAGAAGGUUUUCGGAUCGUAAAACUCUGUUGUUAGAGAAGAACAAGGAUGAGAGUAACUGUUCAUCCCUUGACGGUAUCUAACCAGAAAGCCACGGCUAACUACGUGCCAGCAGCCGCGGUAAUACGUAGGUGGCAAGCGUUGUCCGGAUUUAUUGGGCGUAAAGCGAGCGCAGGCGGUUUCUUAAGUCUGAUGUGAAAGCCCCCGGCUCAACCGGGGAGGGUCAUUGGAAACUGGGAGACUUGAGUGCAGAAGAGGAGAGUGGAAUUCCAUGUGUAGCGGUGAAAUGCGUAGAUAUAUGGAGGAACACCAGUGGCGAAGGCGGCUCUCUGGUCUGUAACUGACGCUGAGGCUCGAAAGCGUGGGGAGCAAACAGGAUUAGAUACCCUGGUAGUCCACGCCGUAAACGAUGAGUGCUAAGUGUUGGAGGGUUUCCGCCCUUCAGUGCUGCAGCUAACGCAUUAAGCACUCCGCCUGGGGAGUACGACCGCAAGGUUGAAACUCAAAGGAAUUGACGGGGGCCCGCACAAGCGGUGGAGCAUGUGGUUUAAUUCGAAGCAACGCGAAGAACCUUACCAGGUCUUGACAUCCUUUGACCACUCUAGAGAUAGAGCUUCCCCUUCGGGGGCAAAGUGACAGGUGGUGCAUGGUUGUCGUCAGCUCGUGUCGUGAGAUGUUGGGUUAAGUCCCGCAACGAGCGCAACCCUUAUUGUUAGUUGCCAUCAUUUAGUUGGGCACUCUAGCAAGACUGCCGGUGACAAACCGGAGGAAGGUGGGGAUGACGUCAAAUCAUCAUGCCCCUUAUGACCUGGGCUACACACGUGCUACAAUGGGAAGUACAACGAGUCGCAAAGUCGCGAGGCUAAGCUAAUCUCUUAAAGCUUCUCUCAGUUCGGAUUGUAGGCUGCAACUCGCCUACAUGAAGCCGGAAUCGCUAGUAAUCGCGGAUCAGCACGCCGCGGUGAAUACGUUCCCGGGCCUUGUACACACCGCCCGUCACACCACGAGAGUUUGUAACACCCGAAGUCGGUGAGGUAACCUUUUGGAGCCAGCCGCCUAAGGUGGGAUAGAUGAUUGGGGUGAAGUCGUAACAAGGUAGCCGUAUCGGAAGGUGCGGCUGGAUCA
rnacentral:rRNA from 1 species